rnacentral:rRNA from 1 species
GUCUAUGGCCAUGCCACCUUGAACAAGCCGGAUUCUGUCUGAUCUUGAUAGCUAAGCAGGGUUGGGCCUGUUAGUACUUGGAUGGGAGACCACCUAGGAAGACCGGGUAUUAUAGGCA